CUUUUAAAGGACGGUAGAACUCCACUAGCCUUAGGAGCUAACACCCCU
rnacentral:tRNA from 1 species